CGGUAGCUCAGCCUGGGAGAGCACCACGCUGAAGACGUGGGUGUCCGGGAUUCAAAUUCCCGCCGACCCA
rnacentral:tRNA from 1 species